rnacentral:rRNA from 1 species
UGGGGAAUUUUGGACAAUGGGCGCAAGCCUGAUCCAGCAAUGCCGCGUGCAGGAUGAAGGCCUUCGGGUUGUAAACUGCUUUUGUACGGAACGAAACGGCGCACACUAAUACUGAGCGCUAAUGACGGUACCGUAAGAAUAAGCACCGGCUAACUACGUGCCAGCAGCCGCGGUAAUACGUAGGGUGCAAGCGUUAAUCGGAAUUACUGGGCGUAAAGCGUGCGCAGGCGGUGAUGUAAGACAGAUGUGAAAUCCCCGGGCUCAACCUGGGACCUGCAUUUGUGACUGCAUCGCUAGAGUACGGUAGAGGGGGAUGGAAUUCCGCGUGUAGCAGUGAAAUGCGUAGAUAUGCGGAGGAACACCGAUGGCGAAGGCAAUCCCCUGGACCUGUACUGACGCUCAUGCACGAAAGCGUGGGGAGCAAACAGG